CCCUUAGAUGUUCUGGGCCGCACGCGUGCUACACUGAGUGGAUCAGCGGGUCAGGUUGCGCGAAAGUGUUUCCUAAUCUUGAAAUCCGCUCGUGAUGGGGAUUGACGGUUGCAAUUUUCCGUCAUGAACGAGGAAUACCUUGUAGGCGCGGGUCAUCAUCCCGCGCUGAAUACGUCCCUGCCCUUUGUACACACCGCCCGUCGCUCCUACCGAUUGAGUGGUCCGGUGAGGCUUUGGGAUCUGAGCGGAAAGAGCGUUUCGCUGUUUCUGCUCGGAAAACUCAGUCGAACCUUAUCAUUUAGAGGAAGGAGAAGUCGUAACA
rnacentral:rRNA from 1 species